rnacentral:rRNA from 1 species
UACGUAGGGACCGAGCGUUGUCCGGAAUCAUUGGGCGUAAAGAGCGUGUAGGCGGCCAAUUAAGUCCUGCGUGAAAUCUCGGGGCUCAACCCCGAGCGGUCGUGGGAAACUGGUUGGCUAGAGUGCGGGAGAGGAGAGUGGAAUUCCAGGUGUAGCGGUGAAAUGCGUAGAUAUCAGGAGGAACACUGGUGGCGAAGGCGGGUCUCUGGGCCGAUACUGACGCUGAGGAGCGAAAGCGUGGGGAGCGAACAGG